rnacentral:rRNA from 1 species
AGGUCAAGCUACAAAGGGCGCAUGGUGAAUGCCUUGGCACUAGGAGCCGAAGAAGGACGCGAUAAGCUGCGAUAAGCCUUGGGUAGCCGCAAAUAGGCUGAGAUCCAGGGAUUUCCGAAUGAGGAAACUCACAUGGGUAACCCCAUGUAUCAUGCACUGAAUACAUAGGUGUAUGAGGGUAAACCCGGGGAACUGAAACAUCUAAGUACCCGGAGGAAGAGAAAGAAAAAUCGAUUUCCUAAGUAGCGGCGAGCGAACGGGAAAGAGCCCAAACCAGAAACUUGUUUCUGGGGUUGUGGAUAGAUCAUAAAAGAAGAGGUAUCUUAAUCGAAGAGGGCUGGAACGCCCUACCAUAGAAGGUAAUAGUCCUGUAGGUAAAAAGAGAAAACUUCGAGAUCUAAUCCAGAGUACCACGAGACACGUGAAACCUUGUGGGAAGCAGGGAGGACCACCUCCCAAGGCUAAAUACUACCUAGUGACCGAUAGUGAAGCAGUACCGUGAGGGAAAGGUGAAAAGAACCCCGGAAGGGGAGUGAAAUAGAACCUGAAACCGUGUGCCUACAACCGAUCGGAGCACGUUAAAGUGUGACGAUGUGCUUUUUGUAGAACGAGCCAGCGAGUUACGCUAUGUAGCAAGGUUAAGUACUUAAGGUAUGGAGCCGAAGGGAAACCGAGUCUGAAAAGGGCGAAAAGUUGCAUGGUGUAGACCCGAAACCGGGUGACCUAUCCAUGGCCAGGUUGAAGCGAGAGUAAAAUCUCGUGGAGGACCGAACCACGUUGGUGUUGAAAAACCAUGGGAUGAGCUGUGGAUAGCGGAGAAAUUCCAAUCGAACUCGGAGAUAGCUGGUUCUCCUCGAAAUAGCUUUAGGGCUAGCGUCGUGUAAUUGAGUAAUGGAGGUAGAGCACUGAAUGGGCUAGGGGCUAUAGUAGUUACCGAACCCUAUCAAACUCCGAAUGCCAUAUACUUGUAUCACGGCAGUCAGACUGCGAAUGAUAAGAUCCGUAGUCAAAAGGGAAACAGCCCAGACCAUCAGCUAAGGUCCCAAAGUGUAAGUUAAGUGGAAAAGGAUGUGGGAUUUCUAAGACAACUAGGAUGUUGGCUUAGAAGCAGCCACUCAUUUAAAGAGUGCGUAAUAGCUCACUAGUCAAGAGAUCCUGCGCCGAAGAUGUCCGGGGCUCAAACUUACCACCGAAGCUAUGGGUGUACACUAUGUGUACGCGGUAGAGGAGCUUUCUGUAUGGGUUGAAGUCGUACCGUAAGGAGCGGUGGACUGUACAGAAGUGAGAAUGCUGGCAUAAGUAGCGAGAAAUAAGUGAGAAUCUUAUUGGCCGAAAACCUAAGGUUUCCUGGGGAAGGUUCGUCCGCCCAGGGUUAGUCGGGACCUAAGCCGAGGCCGAAAGGCGUAGGUGAUGGACAAUCGGUUGAUAUUCCGAUACCGCCUAUUUACGUUUGAGAAAUGGGGUGACGCAGUAGGAUAAGAUGUGCGCACUAUUGGAUGUGCGUCUAAGCAUUUAGGCAUGCUUGAUAGGUAAAUCCGUCGAGCUAAGCUGAGGUGUGAUGGGGAGCCAUUUAUGGCGAAGUAUCUGAUUCCACACUGCCAAGAAAAGCCUCUAUCGAGUGAAUAGGUGCCCGUACCGCAAACCGACACAGGUAGGUGAGGAGAGAAUCCUAAGGCCAUCGGAAGAAUUGCUGUUAAGGAACUCGGCAAAUUGACCCCGUAACUUCGGGAGAAGGGGUGCCUACGAAAGUAGGCCGCAGAGAAUAGGCCCAAGCAACUGUUUAGCAAAAACACAGGUCUCUGCUAAAGCGAAAGCUGAUGUAUAGGGGCUGACGCCUGCCCGGUGCUGGAAGGUUAAGGGGAACACUUAGCGUAAGCGAAGGUGUGAACUUAAGCCCCAGUAAACGGCGGCCGUAACUAUAACGGUCCUAAGGUAGCGAAAUUCCUUGUCGGGUAAGUUCCGACCCGCACGAAUGGCGUAAUGAUUUGGGCACUGUCUCAACAGCAAAUCCGGCGAAAUUGUAGUGCAAGUGAAGAUGCUUGCUACCCGCGAUUGGACGGAAAGACCCCGUAGAGCUUUACUGUAGCUUAGCAUUGAAUCUCGGUAUUGUCUGUACAGGAUAGGUGGGAGACUUGGAAGCUUGGGCGUCAGCCUGAGUGGAGUCAUCCUUGGGAUACCACCCUGACAGUACUGGGGUUCUAACCGGCGGCCAUGAAUCUGGUCACGGGACAUUGUUAGGUGGGCAGUUUGACUGGGGCGGUCGCCUCCUAAAAAGUAACGGAGGCGCCCAAAAGUUCCCUCAGCGCGGUCGGAAAUCGCGCGAAGAGUGCAAAGGCAGAAGGGAGCUUGACUGCGACACAUACAGGUGGAGCAGGGACGAAAGUCGGGCUUAGUGAUCCGGUGGUACCUCGUGGGAGGGCCAUCGCUCAACGGAUAAAAGCUACCUCGGGGAUAACAGGCUGAUCUCCCCC